CCAUUACUAAUUACUGACCUAAGAAGUUUAUUGUUACUAUUACAAUAUUAAAUAUCUUUGUUAAAAUUAUAAAAAGCGGAAGAUAACCUUUGUUAAACGAAAAGACACGUAACGAUCAUAGGCGAUGAAUAGGCGGAAAUAUGGUAUUGCUUGCAUAAGAAUCCGCUAUUCGGAGACUAUACCCGAACGUUUAUCUGAG